GGAUGGGUAGUGGAAUUGAGGGUACUCCCCCAUUGGCAAACACAGCUCUGUGAGAAGAGUCGGUGGUUUUAUAAACCACCUUGCAGGUUCGAAGCCUGUCCCAUCCACCA
rnacentral:tRNA from 1 species